CAGACUUUUACAUAACGCAUAAGGCAUAAUGCAUAGAGCAUAACGUAACGUUCUUCAACGCACAAGCUUGUGCAUAAGGCUUUACAUUCUAACCUUAAAAUUAUUUGAACACCGAAAUCACAUGAGGAAAUAAAUAGGAACACACAAUAUUGAAAAGAAAAUCAAGAGAACUUUUUUUGUGAUUAUAAAAGUGAGAAUAAAUGGUCUGAUCUAUCAAAAAAAAGAAGGGACAAUAAAAAUAAGAAGAGAAAUUGAAGAGUAUUUAUUCUCUAGUAAAGAUG